rnacentral:rRNA from 1 species
AGAUACCCCUGUAGUCCCAGCCGUAAACUAUGCUCGCUAGGUGUCAGGCAUGGCGCGACCGUGUCUGGUGCCCGCAGGGAAGCCGUGAAGCGAGCCACCUGGGAAGUACGGCCGCAAGGCUGAAACUUAAAGGAAUUGGCGGGGAGCACCACAACGGGUGGAGCCUGCGGUUUAAUUGGACUCAACGCCGGGAAGCUCACCGGAUAAGACAGCGGAAUGAUUGCCGGGCUGAAGACUCUGCAUGACUAGCUG